GUGAGGAAUUUUCCGCAAUGGGCGAAAGCCUGAUCCAGCAAUGCCGCGUGCAGGAUGAAGGCCCUCGGGUUGUAAACUGCUUUUGUACGGAACGAAAAGCCUGGGGCUAAUAUCCCCGGGUCAUGACGGUACCGUAAGAAUAAGCACCGGCUAACUACGUGCCAGCAGCCGCGGUAAUACGUAGGGUGCAAGCGUUAAUCGGAAUUACUGGGCGUAAAGCGUGCGCAGGCGGUUUUGUAAGACAGUGGUGAAAUCCCCGGGCUCAACCUGGGAACUGCCAUUGUGACUGCAAGGCUAGAGUGCGGCAGAGGGGGAUGGAAUUCCGCGUGUAGCAGUGAAAUGCGUAGAUAUGCGGAGGAACACCGAUGGCGAAGGCAAUCCCCUGGGCCUGCACUGACGCUCAUGCACGAAAGCGUGGGGAGCAAACAGGAUUAGAUACCCUGGUAGUCC
rnacentral:rRNA from 1 species